CGCACAUUGCGCCCUUUGGUAUUCCGAAGGGCAUGCCUGUUCGAGCGUCAUUACACCCCCUCAAGCCCCCUCUGGCUUGGUGUUGGACGGUUGGGUGAGAGGUCCGCUCUCACCCCCUCCUAAAGACAAUGACGGCGGCCUCGUUGGACCCCCGGUACACUGAGUUCUUCACGGGACACGUACCGGACAUAGGGCCCACGGGACACGGUCUGCCUCCCCUCCAGGGAGAAUUUUUCUCAAGGUUGACCUCGGAUCAGGUAGGGAUACCCGCUGAACUUAA
rnacentral:misc_RNA from 1 species